rnacentral:rRNA from 1 species
GAGAUGUUGGGUUAAGUCCCGCAACGAGCGCAACCAUUGUCUCUAGUUGAUAGGCAAGAGCACUCUAGAGAGACUGCCGGUGACAAACCGGAGGAAGGUGGGGAUGACGUCAAGUCCUCAUGGCCCUUAUGGGUAGGGCUUCACACGUCAUACAAUGGUGCGUACAGAGGGUUGCCAACCCGCGAGGGGGAGCUAAUCCCAGAAAACGCAUCGUAGUCCGGAUCGUAGUCUGCAACUCGACUACGUGAAGCUGGAAUCGCUAGUAAUCGCGGAUCAGCAUGCCGCGGUGAAUACGUUCCCGGGUCUUGUACACACCGCCCGUCACACCAUGGGAGUGGGUUUUGCCAGAAGUAGUUAGCCUAACCGCAAGGAGGGCGAUUACCACGGCAGGGUUCAUGACUGGGGUGAAGUCGUAACAAGGUAGCCGUAA